GGGAGUCUGCACGAAGAGUCAGAGAUACCAGAGGCAGACAAGAGGAAGACUGGGCAAAAUGGAAACGAUAAAAGGAGAGACCAAGAAAAAAAAGGAGACAGAAAAAGGAAAAGGAAGUAAAGUCCCACCACCACACACAACUCAUGCAGUCUCCCACGUCGUUCCCUCAGGAGGCAACAGUGAGGGGAAAGAGGAGAGGAAGGAUAGACUCAGUGGAGGGCGGAGUCUCCAGAGUUGAAAUCAGGACAAGGCUGGAGGGAGAGUUAUAUAAUCAAGAGAGACAGAGAGAAGAAAAGGGACAGACACAAAGAAGCAAACGGAAUGACACAGAUACAGGAAGACAACUAGUUGAAGAGACAUUUAAAAAGGAGAGACAAUGAAAUAUAAAAAAUUACGGGGGGAAAAAGCACACUAAAAGAGAAAGACUGUGGGAAGGGGCAGAGUCGAUGGGGGAGCGGGGUAGUGAGUAUUCUUACAGGUUCUUCUCCUUGCCUUUCAAGUGGGCUACAGGAAAUCUAGCUCACAGCUUCCAGUAUGUCUUACUUUUCAGCUUCCUUUCCCUCAGACUUCAUCCCCACUCCUGAUUCUGCCAGUGAAGACCAGAGAGAUUCUAAUCGCUCCCGGGGAAGGAAGCCAAAGCUUCUGGAAACCCAGAAGAAGGAAUAGAAGCAAGACUCCCUACUUAACAGAUGGAGCAGGAAACCACAGCUCCACCCAGUACCACCUGGGAUCGGAGGGUGCCAACUGGGGUGGGAACCCAGGUAGCCUAGCCUGUUCUUUCUCCCAACUCCGACUUCAGAAAAGGGAUUACUGACUUGCAGCCAAAGUCUCCAGCAGACAUUCCGAACUGGAGCCCCAGGGAGUUUUUGCUAGGAAGCCCAAAUCUACUGGAGUAUCAAGCGGGAAAUAAGCGGGAGUAAAGCCCCAAAAGGCUUGCAAACAUACAGAGCAGGGUAGGCAUAUCGGUCAACUUGCCGCGCAGGCGCAAGACGGCAAAGAGACGCGUGCUGGGGGCUGAGGGUGGAGGGGCGGUGGAGGGAGAGAUGUGAGCGUGUGGGAGUGCACGUGCAAGGUCUGAAGCAGCUGCUCAGAGAUCCCUCUAAUCCCCAGCCCCCCUCAGCUCUUUCUCUUCCCAAUCCCUUCUUCCCCCACCCCCACCAUCAGCAGGCCGCGUCCCCCCUUCCACACCAUUGGCGGGCUACUAGUGACGUCACUAGAAUGCCCUUAAGUGGAUUGGGCGGCUGGAGCAGUUCGAGAAGUCGGCUCCCGAUUCUGCCUCCAGUUACUCUAGCUACAAGGCAAGCUGUAGUGGAAGAGUAAGACUAGAACAGCCCCGAGUCUCACCGUGGCCCCACCCCUCUAGCCCUGAAGUAAUAGCGCACCAAGAUUUUUUGGAGCAAAUUCAUUUCUCAUCGUCUUUCGGUUCUCUUUAAAGGGACCUAGCCUCUUAUCUUUCUCCUCCACCUCCAAACAGCACUAGCCACCCCCUGACCGGAAGCUGGUCUUGUUUGCUUGCAAGCAGCCUGCCCCCUCGCCCGCCCACUCCUGGUCAUUUCAAGUGAAGGAUGCUGUGCCCCUUUUCCCCACCUCAUCCCCUCCAUCCUUUCACCGCUUCCUGUUCUAGAGGGUCUGCACUGACAGGAAGUCAACUUCCCUCAAGCACCAGAAGCCCACACAUAGGGUACUAAAUUGCGCAGGGAGCAGUAGGCGGGCACCCAGCGCCCCAGUCAACCCCGCCUCCCAGAAACAGGAACACGCACCAACCUUACCCCCUGGUGGCUCAACUGGGUAGGUUCCCCCCUCCCAGCAUGGGGCGGGGGCGAUAAAGCCGAGGUGGAGGAGCUGAAUUAGGACGGGAGGGAGUGAGCCUGCAGGAAACCGGUGGCAAUGGGGAGCUGGGGGCGGGGUGAUGUUCACCUUCUGGUAGGACCUAAGAGAUCCCAACCCACAUCCCGACCUGUCCACGACUUUUUCCCUUUGACAAAUCUCCCCUCAACCCCUACACGAAGGCCGCCCCGCGCCCCGCCCCCUCUCUGGGACACGCACUCAAACACUGGGAACUGAGCGAUUUCUCAACCCCCUCCUAAAUGCGGACCCCUAGGCACCGGGAGACCAGCGCCUAGACCCGGCCACAUGCUGCGCGCGCCUGUACCCUCCCGAGGGGCACAGGUGCCCAGAGUCCCCGCAGCUCCCUUCCAGGGAUCCAGCAGUGCAGUCCGCCCCGCCCCCUGCGUGGAGAUGGCUUCCCGCUCUCCAGACGCCCGCUGGGCUACCCGUUACCUGGUUCUGGGGGUUCCAGGUGUCCCGGCUCCCCAUGGACCCCCCAGGGGGUCCGGAGGCCCCCCCCACCCCAGCCUGGGUUGGGGGGGCCGCUCCGCCCCGUGGCGCAGUUGGAUUUUCCAACACAAACACCCGCCCCGGCCCGCCCACGGCCCCGCCCCGGCCCCAUUCCGGUCCCGGCCGGAGACCCAAUGCCCAGCUCUCCCAGCUCGGGCCCCGCCCCUCCCCGGCCUGGUACCCGCCCCUCCCCUGACUCAUUCCUACCCGCGUCCAACUUGGGCUCCGCCUCCUUCAGCUCCAAUCCCGCCCCUUCCUGCUCAGGCCCCGCCCCACAGCCUCGCUUCUGUUCUGGCCCCAUCCCACUGCUUUUAAUCCUCAUUCUUCGUCUCUGGGUUUCGACUCUCACCUAAAUACUAAACACAGCUGUUGCUGGCUUAGUAGAUACCUGGAUCUCCUUUCCUGAACAUGACUCUAAGAAAAAGUCCAAUCAACAAGCUCCUUUGGGCUACAGCUUUAAUAAUUGAAGAAUCACUUGUGAACAUUUACCUCCAGAAAAUGAACUAAGAAGUCGAAACAUGGAAGACAUAAUUUAAAUACACAUAUCUGUUUGCCAGAUGAUGCCUUCUAUUUUAUGUGGAUAGAAGAAGGGAUGGAGAUACUUGGACAUCAAUUCUACUAACAACAACAACAACAAAAACUUCUGGAGGCAAGGAACACAAAAAUCACUCUUGCAUCAACUUUCUUUAGAUGAGCAAUUCUCAAAGGGUGGUCCAGCGAUCUCUGGAGGUACCUGAGAUCCUUUGUGGUAGGAGGUUGGGAGGGAAGUGACCAUGAGGUCAAAACUAUUUUCAUAAUAAUCCCAAUAUGUUUUAAUUUCUAACAUGGCAUCUGUAGCUAAAAUUCAUAUAAACAAAAGCUUUUUGGGAAUCUUCAAUGGUUUUUAAGAGCAUAGACCAAAAAGUUUAAGGACAACAAUUUUAGACAAUUUCAGGUAAAACAUGGAGGAGAACUGAGACCUUAGUAACAAACCUGGGAUAGAAGAGAUCUCCCCCAACCCUUUUCUCACUCUUAGUCCUAGCUGUUUGUCAACCAUUACAAAGUUAAAAAUAAUGAUGAUCGGAUUAGCUCUGACAAGAUAAGCCAAAAAUUUUAAAAUUAUCAAAAAGAUCAUUUGGAAUAUGAAUUUAUAGUCACUUAAUGCUGAAUCUUACCUUAAAUGCCUUAUGCCAGUUAGAGAAUAUGAAGUCAUUCUAAUUGGUGAGCCAUUUUAAAAUUAAAAUUAAAAAACCUCUAUAGUAUAUUUUAUAAGUAGUAUGUCAGAGGAUUCUCAAUCCAGCAGCUUACAAAAUUUCAGUAAUCAAUGAUUAAUGUUUAGAGGCCUCUUUUCUUACUUAAGAGAAAAACUCCCCAAAAGCUAAAUAUCAUUGGGGAAACACUUGUCUUCCUGCUGUGGUAAGAUAGCUGAAAGAAUACAUGGAAAACGAUAUGACAACAAAUUGUAAUGCAUUUCAUUGUCAGCCAAGAUUGUUGGAAGAAGCUAAAACAGCAUUGCUGAAGCUCUGAUGAAAUAAACAUUAGAACAUAUUAUCCCAUGCAGGGAGGUUUCCUAUGCAAUAGGAUAAAAAUACGUGUUCCCAACAUUUUUCAAACUAAAGCAUUUGCUAGAUUCUGUUUCAACAAUGAAAUACUGGGGGUGGGGUGGGGUUUGUGAGUGACUAAUGGAAGAAAUUAUAUGCCAUUCUCAAUAGUAACUGACUUAAAAAAUAAAAACAUUGUUUAACGGGAAAACUAUUAAGUAUAGACCCUGAUGGAGCAGCUACUAUAGAAUAAAAAUAAUUCUCAAUCAAGGUCCAAAGAAGGCCCACAUAUGAAAUUCGUUUAUUGCGUGAUUUGUAGCCAAGUCAUUGAAGCAAAGAAACUGGAGCCAGAGAUGGAAAAAGUGUAACAGGAUAUCAGUGAUAUGGCUAAGUUAUAAAAACAAGACCUUUAAGUGGCAGAAUAUUUAUAAUAGUCUGUAAUGAAAUGAGGAGUGACCAUGAAAAUCCUUGAUAUCACACAGACUGGUGAGCUGGUUAGAUUAGGGCAGAGUUCAACAGAAAAGCUGAACCUUAAAGAUGCUUUGCAGUUUUCUUUUACAGAGACAAGUGUUUCACAUUUGUUGGGAUGAUGAGUGGUUAUCACUAUAUACUAUCUAGAUGAUUAUUUUUUAAAAAACAUUUUAUCUGUUUCUUCAAAGUAAAGGUGUCUUUUUAACAAUGAGUGAGAAAGUAACUGAUUUUCAAAAGAGGCUCAAACUAUGGAGAAGGCAUUUUGAAAUUUUUGAAAAUGUUUCCAUCGUUAUAUAACCCCCACCCUAAACAAAGUGCCACACUUGAAGGAUAUGAAAACAGAAUUUUCUAACCUGUUUAAAUAUUUUCCAGAGGAAACUGUAAUGGGUUUAGAACCCAUUUAUUUAAAAAAAAAAAGACCUACUGUUCUGAUUAGUCUUCAAGAAUAACUAACUUUGUUAUUAAGGAAGAUGGAAAUUUACUGGCCAAAUUUCAUUAAAAAUCUUUGUAUAGAUAGUGGAUGGGUGAAAAAUUAGUGGGAAUUUUUUUAGUAAACUUAGCUAAUGGUGUACUUUUUGUUUCAUUUGGACCCAUGUUUUUUGUGAGGUAUCUUUUUCAGCUCUGAAAGCCAUUCAGACCAGCUAUCUAAAAAUAUUGAACUCAGAAUACUAUGUCACAAAGUGUUAGGAUUUUCAAAAAUUAAUGAACUAAUUCAUGCACAUAGAUCUCCCCAUGGAUAGGAUUUAUCAAAGAAACUUACUGAAAAUAUUUUUCCCUGCUACCUAUUAUCCUUAUGAUCUUAACUGCAUAAAUUUUGUUUCUGCAAGAAUGUUUUAGUUUCAUGUAAUCAAAAUUGUCCAUCUUAUCUUUUGUAAUUAUUUUUAUCUCUUGUUUCAGCAAGCCCUCUCUCUAACCCUAGAUUCAAGUUUCUUCUAUGCUUUUCUAAUUUUCUUAUGAUGCCAUUUUUUGUGUAAAUGUCAUGUCUCCAUUUGGAAGUUAUAUUGCUAUACAUUAUGAGAUGCUUUUCCAUACCUAAAUUCUACCCAAAUGUUUUCCAGUUUUCCUAUUAGUUUUGUCAAAUAGUGAGUUCCAGUAACUGGGACCUUUGGGUUUAUCAAACAUUAUGCUACCAUUUUAUUUUAUUUUUUUAAAUUGUUAUUAUUUUUUAAAACCCUUAGCUUCCGCCUUGGCUCCAAGGCAGAAGAGUGGUAAGGGCUAGGCAAUGGGGGUCAAGUGACUUGCCCAGGAUCACACAGGUAGGAAGUGUCUGAGGUCAGAUUUGAACCUAGGACCUCCCAUCUCUAGGCCUGGCUCUCAAUCCACUGAACUACCCAGCUGCCCCCAUUUUAUUUUGUUUUUAAGACUAAAACAAAACAAAAACAUUAUGCUAUUGCAUUAAUUCGCUUCUGUGUUUUGUAUGCCUAAUGUGUUCCACUGUAUCAACCUCAUUUUAUUUUUAACCAGUACCAAACUGCUUUGAUGAUUACUGAUUAGUUUAAGAUCUAGUAUUGAUAGAUGCUCCACCCCACUUCCUCCUUCUUAUCAUCUUUAUAAAAAAUUAUUAUUACCCUUGAAAUUCUUACUCAUUUAUUCCUCUUUUGUUUUCUAGCUAUAUGUACUGAGUAAAUAAUUUAGGUAAUAUCAUAAUUCUUACUAUGUGCUUAUUACACUGACUUUACCUACCCAUGACCAAUUAAUAUUUUUUCAAUUAGUAGGACUAUAAUCUAUCUUAAAUAAAGAGAAACUGUAGUCAGUUGCAGCUGAUUUACAAAUAUUUUACUUAAUAUUUCUGUAUCAAUGUUAUUUGCAGAUAAUUAUUUAAAGUUUUCUUUAUUUGUUUUCUCUCUCCCUAGUUUAUGUAUUUAGUAUUUAAUAUCUGUAUCAUAGAAAUAUACUAUUAUUGAAAAGAGUUUAUGUAAUAUUACAAUUAAUUAUUCUUUAAAUGUUUAAAAGAAUUCACUUAUAAAUCCAUCA